UACGUAGGGGGCGAGCGUUGUCCGGAGUUACUGGGCGUAAAGGGCACGCAGGCGGUUGACCAGGUUGGGAGUGACAGCGCUCGGCUUCACUGAGCGAGGGCUUUCAAAACGGGUUGACUGGAGGCAACGAGAGGGAGACGGAAUUCCGGGUGGAGUGGUGAAAUGCGUAGAGAUCCGGAAGAACACCAAAGGCGAAGGCAGUCUCCUGGCGUUGACCUGACGCUGAGGUGCGAAAGCUAGGGGAGCGAACAGG
rnacentral:rRNA from 1 species